rnacentral:rRNA from 1 species
UACAGAGACUGCGAGCGUUAUUCGGAUUCACUGGGCGUAAAGGGUGCGCAGGCGGCCGUGUGUGUGAGGCGUGAAAGCCCGGGGCUUAACCCCGGAAUUGCACCUCAAACUACACGGCUAGAGCAUUGGAGAGGGUAGCGGAAUUCACGGUGUAGCAGUGAAAUGCGUAGAUAUCGUGAGGAAUACCAGAGGCGAAGGCGGCUACCUGGACAAUUGCUGACGCUCAGGCACGAAAGCGUGGGGAGCAAAAGGG